GAUGAACGCUGGCGGCGUGCCUAAUACAUGCAAGUCGAGCGAACAGACGAGGAGCUUGCUCCUCUGACGUUAGCGGCGGACGGGUGAGUAACACGUGGAUAACCUACCUAUAAGACUGGGAUAACUUCGGGAAACCGGAGCUAAUACCGGAUAAUAUAUUGAACCGCAUGGUUCAAUAGUGAAAGACGGUUUUGCUGUCACUUAUAGAUGGAUCCGCGCCGCAUUAGCUAGUUGGUAAGGUAACGGCUUACCAAGGCAACGAUGCGUAGCCGACCUGAUAGGGUGAUCGGCCACACUGGAGCUGAGACACGGUCCAGACUCCUACGGGAGGCAGCAGUAGGGAAUCUUCCGCAAUGGGCGAAAGCCUGACGGAGCAACGCCGCGUGAGUGAUGAAGGUCUUCGGAUCGUAAAACUCUGUUAUUAGGGAAGAACAAAUGUGUAAGUAACUAUGCACGUCUUGACGGUACCUAAUCAGAAAGCCACGGCUAACUACGUG
rnacentral:rRNA from 1 species